AGGAAGGAAGGAGGGAGGGAGGGUGAGAGGUAAAGGAGAGAGAGAGAGAGAGACAUGGUGGGGGGAGAAAAUAAAAACAAAAGAGAAAAAGAACUCAGAAUAUCUCAGAAAAGAGACAGGCCCUUUUCUGGUAAUUUCUCAAGAUGAAAAGUCCAAAAUCAAGGUGUCAGAAGGACCACCCUCUCUCGGAAGGCUCUAGAGAAGAAUAUUUGUUUGCUUCUUCCGGCUUCUGGUUAGAAAAAAGUGACCACAGAAGUUAAAUGCCUUCUCAGGAAGAUAGAGUGGAACAGAACUUAGACCCUAGUCUGUCUGAGACCAAAAACUUUGCAGAAUCAUUCUACAAGACCCAAAUUCCAGAUUACAAUUGUGAUUGUGCUGACAUAUGUACUCUGUGAAGAAGACAAAGCUGUACUUUUGAGAAGAUUUUAAUGAGCAAAGACAUUAAAGUAUCAGUUAAAGUAUAAAUAAUAAAAGAAAGUGUCACAUAGAUUGCUAAAAAUUAUGUCUUGCAAAAAAUACAAAGAAAAACAGAGCAAGCUUUGGACCCAAAAGAAGAAUAAAAAGCGUAAGCACUCUUGUCCUUGGAGAUGAUGAAAUAUUGUUAAUAGACUAUAUACAAAAGAAACUUUGACUCUCAUUAGUAUUUUGGAUAUUGUGUCAAGUAAAAGGAUCUUUGAACUGAAAGUGAAAGAAGAAAUUUUGGAGAGUAGGACUGAAGCCUAAAAUGGAUGAAGAGCUUGAAAGAGAGAAACUAAUUUUUUCAAUUUCAAGUCUCCUCACUUAGGUGAAUUACAGCUGAAUAUAUAAUGUAACUUCUGGCUGGUAAAAUCGCUAAUCUACUUUGGUCAAGUUAAAAAAUGAUGAAUAGCUAGAAUUCUGCUGGAAGGAAAAAGUUGUAUAUAUCAUGACUUUUCUUUAAAGGGAGAAGUGUAUUCCACGAAUUAUACACUGUGUAAAUUUAUCUCAACCUCUGGGAAUAUUUGAGAAAGAAUUAUUAAAGGAUUGCUAGUGAGCCUCUAAAAGAACAAAAAUUUGAUCAUUACAACCUAUGAUGAAGUCAGUAAAUCUCAUUCAUUCUGUACUAGGAUGAUUUCGUCAAUUGGCACACAGGAAGAAUCUGGAAAAUAAACUUAGGCUUGAGAAGCUCCAAUAUCUUCCUACAAUAUUGGGGUUCUUGGUCAUAUAUUGGCAACUAGUUGACUCACUCUAACCAAACAAUGCUACUUAACACAUCACCAUUUUCUAUAUACCCAUUUGUCUGCACCAGUUUUUGCUAAAUUUAUCCCCCAUCUCCUACACUCACUUUAUAGCUUCACUUCUCCCCCAGAUUUUGAUAUGUCUACUUGCCAAUUCAUUUGCCAUAUUGCUGUCAAGGCCAUAUACUAGAGUACAGAAUUGCCCACAUGAGCCCUUUAUAAUCUGCUCUUACUCUCUUUGGUGUCCUUCCAUCAAUAUUCCCAUUCAGCCAUUUCUUUUUUUAAAUGAGCCCAUGUGUUUUCCCUCCUGUUAGAACGGCGUUCUCCUGGUAACCACCUGGCCAUGCUUGAAGGCCCAGGAACAAAUAUCAUGAUUUCUUAAAGAUUUUUCCAGAUUGUUAUCCCCAUCUCACAUCUGAGAUUAAAUUAUUCCAUCAUAUGUUCUUCCUAGUAUUGUAUAAAUGCAGCUGUUAUAUGAGUGAUGACUUCUGGAUUGUUUUGUUAUUCUAUUUACCCAAUUAGACUCUGAACCGUUUUAGGACAAACCUAUUUCAACCAUGAUCUCACUACCCAAACACUGGUACUUAGCAGAUACAAACUAAGCAUAUGUUUUACAACAAACAUAAAGUUUCCUUGUUCCCUGGCAAAAGAACCAUUAAUCACCUAACUUCCUUGUAUAGC